ACUUUAAUAGCUUAUAUAAAGAGCAUUAUACUGAAGAUAUAAAAGAGAGUUUUUUUACUUUUAAAGUA
rnacentral:tRNA from 1 species